AGCGAACGCUGGCGGCAGGCCUAACACAUGCAAGUCGAACGAAGCCUUCGGGCUUAGUGGCGGACGGGUGAGUAACACGUGGGAACGUACCUUUUGGUUCGGAAUAACGCAGAGAAAUUUGCGCUAAUACCGAAUGAGCCCUUCGGGGGAAGGAUUUAUCGCCGAAAGAUCGGCCCGCGUUGGAUUAGGUAGUUGGUGUGGUAAAGGCGCACCAAGCCUACGAUCCAUAGCUGGUCUGAGAGGAUGAUCAGCCACACUGGGACUGAGACACGGCCCAGACUCCUACGGGAGGCAGCAGUGGGGAAUCUUGCGCAAUGGGCGAAAGCCUGACGCAGCCAUGCCGCGUGCAGGAAGAAGGCGCUACGCGUUGUAAACUGCUUUUAACCGGGAAGAAACCCCAGGACGUGUCCUGGGUUGACGGUACCGGAGGAAUAAGCACCGGCUAACUUCGUGCCAG
rnacentral:rRNA from 1 species